rnacentral:rRNA from 1 species
GACGAACGCUGGCGGCGUGCUUAACACAUGCAAGUCGAACGGAAAGGCCCUGCUUUUGUGGUGUGCUCGAGUGGCGAACGGGUGAGUAACACGUGAGUAACCUGCCCUCGACUUUGGGAUAACUUCAGGAAACUGGGGCUAAUACCGGAUAGGAGCUCCUGCUGCAUGGGGGGGGAUGGAAAGUUGCUGCGGUGGGGGAUGGACUGGCGGCUUAUCAGGUUGUUGGUGGGGUAGUGGAUUACCAAGGCUUUGAGGGGUAGCCGGCCUGAGAGGGUGACCGGCCACGUUGGGACUGAGAUACGGCCCAGCCUACUACGGGAGGCAGCGGUGGGGAGUGUUGCACAAUGGGCGGAAGCCUGAUGCGGCGCCGCCGCGUGCGGGAUGACGGCCUGCGGGUUGUAAUCCGCUUUCGCCUGUGACGAGGCGUGAGUGACGGUAAUGGGUAAAGAAGCACCGGCUAACUACGUG